GUGCUCGCUUCAGCAGCACAUAUACUAAAAUUGGAACGAUACAGAGAAGAUUAGUAUGGCUCUUGCACAAGGAUGACACACAAAGUAAUGAAGCGUUCCAAAAAAAA
rnacentral:snRNA from 1 species